rnacentral:lncRNA from 1 species
GACCGCUGCUGACGUGGCUGGUGGACCCCGCUCCUUCGGAGUUAGCCACGCUGCUGCUACUGUUGUUAUUCCCCUCGUAGUGGCACCGCUUGUGUCCGCCGAGAGCUUGGCCGGAAGGAAACGACUUGUGACAGAUCGAGCAAACAUGCGACUUCCCACUUCCGGUUGUCACCGCGGAUGUGGUCGACGUUGAAGACUUGUGACAGAUCGAGCAAACAUGCGACUUCCCACUUCCGGUUGUCCCCGCGGAUGUGGUCGACGUUGAUUGAUCGUCUCCUCCGCCGGAUAGGGUCUGUGAUAAGUUUUUCCGGUGACUGGCCUUGUGUCCGCCGAGUGCUUGGUAAGACGAGAAGGACUUGUCGCAGACGCUGCACGUGUAGGUUGACGACUUCUCCCCCACCGUCACCGGAGGAGGAGGAAGAGGGUUACGGUUGCUGCGAUCUCCGUCACGAGCGAGGAGCAAG